CAUGUCACUCAUUGAUGCUGAUACUGAUAACCCUGUUGAGAUACACAGUCAGUGGUCUUCAAAGAGAUACAUGAUAUUCAUGAUCCCUCAGCCCAAAGAGUCUAUUGUGCAGUUCAUUGUCAGUAAUGCUGCCUAAGGGCAUAAUGAGAUUGCAUGUAAUUAACAAUCAUGAUGAAGUUCAUUGUAUCUAUUGCCUAUGGAGCCCCUGUUGAUGACUAUGAGCUAUGUUGGUACUUAAGAACCUUGUGAAUUCCAAGGUCUACACUGACACUGGAGGUGAUAUUGAGACAUUGCUGCCUCUGAAAAGCUUGGUGAAGUCUGUCAUUCCUGUUCCUAGAAGAGUCUAUUUUGAAGUUCAUAGUCAAUGCAGCGGCCUGUGUCAUGUUGACU